ACCGAGCACGAAAACAAUUUCUAAGCACUAAAAUUUUCACAAUUAAAACUUAAAGAGCAUGGCGGCAAGUUUUAGUUUCAGGGGAACUUACCUGGUAAUUGACAACCCACAAGGAUCUACACUUAAUCUCUUUAGUUUGUAUACCGCCGUCAUUGGGUUUAUUUAAGAUAAACCCAAAACCACUCUCGUGAAUAAGACAGGUCAUGGUGCAGCUUAUGAUUAAGACAGGGCGAGUUACAAUAUUAUUUCUUUUCGGAUCAUAAAAAUUAACUUUUUGGUGAAGAUGGACUUGAAAGUAAAUUUAAUUAAAAAUAUAAAUUGAAUCACCCAAAGCUUGUGC
rnacentral:rRNA from 1 species